rnacentral:rRNA from 1 species
ACGUAGGGGGCAAGCGUUGCUCGGAAUUACUGGGCGUAAAGGGUGUGUAGGUGGCUGAUUAAGUUAAGGAUGAAAUCCCGAGGCUCAACUUCGGAACUGUCCUUGAUACUGGUCAGCUUGAGGUUAGUAAAGGAGAGCGGAAUUCCCGGUGAAGCGGUGAAAUGCGUAGAUACCGGGAGGACCACCAGAGGCGUAGGCGCCUCUCUAGGCUAGACCUGACGCUGAGAAACGAAAGCUAGGGGCGCAAAAGG